CAGAAGAGGAGACUGAAACUGCCUCUCUCUUGCUCAUUCUUCAGUGCCAGAUCACAUCAGGCUGUAAGAUACCUGAGGACUAUUUGUUUGCAGACUGCUGGAAGACAGAGAUGGAAUCACCUAUUGUAAAAAACUCAAAAGAACAUGAAAAGGUCUUCUUGUGAUCAUCAAAAUCAUCAGCAAAGUAGCAGAACCUGUCAGUAGAAGUUUGUGUUUGAUUCAGUGCAAGUCGUCUGCCUUGUGGGCCUAUCUGAUACUUGGAUCAAAGCUGAAGUGCAGUCAGAGGGAAACAAGGAAGUGUUCAGAAGAAUUGAAACAAGGCUGGAUUCUCAGAAACACAAAGACAAAUCCAUUUUCUCAGCAAGCUGACGCAACUCUGAAGAUGCCAGGAGUUGUAGCUGAUCAUGUGGUGAAUCUGGAGCCUGAGCAACUUAGAAAUGACACUGCUUCUUUGAUGAAAUGCCCUCACCUCAUUAAAAGUUGCCAGGGUUGCUGAGGUCCUGUGUCUCCUUCCACUCUCUGCUGAGCCUGCCAGAGUAGAUCAGCAGGGGUCAACUACAGCAGGAAGCCUGGUAAUGCAGAAAUCUGCAAGUUGGGAGCCACACUGAUUUUCCUGGCAGUGGCUUGCUGGUAUAUGUACAGGAGCUUUUGUUAGCUGUCAGUCUGAAUGGAAUGUCAGUCAUUCCCUUGGAGCCUGAUCUUCAGAUCACUGCACUCUCAGAGGGGGCUAGUGCCUUCAUCUUCAUACAGUAAUAACUCAGGUCUGUGGAAGCUGGAACCCUUAUCUUUUGUUAAGAAGGCCUUGUGAUAUUUAGUCCCCACGUGAUUUUCUUUUUCUAACUCUACAGAAAAGUUUGAACCCUUUGCAACUGAUAUGCUACCCAUUUUUUUUUAUGGGACAGUUUGGAUCACUUAGCAUGCUCUGGGUCAUCUGUCACUUUGGCUGGCAGUUGUCAGAUUUCCAGAGUGGAAGCGGGAUGAGUUGCUAGGGGAUGUCUUGUGCUCUAUGUCAUUUAUGCAUUCACUGAUGUGCAACAGAUUUAUAUGAGUAGUUCAAGGCCUCUCUGUACCAGAUGAGCUUGUACUGAAAUCUCAGACCAUCCCACAUAUUCUCCUGGAGGAGACACUAAGAUUAUUGGUAUUCUUUUAAAAAUAGUCUUCUUCUUCAUCAGCUAAUGCUGAUUUUCUUCCUCUCAGCAUCAAAGAACAAUUUCUAACUACAUCUCUUUCUUGCAGAAAUUUCAAAGCAGUGUUGCACAGCAUGAUUCAAGCAUGCACACAUGGUAGAACUAGAUAGAAUUAAAGACAUUUGUGUUUAUCCAGUUAAACUACUGGUUCCUUUUCCUGUGACUGUUCUUUAAUAUACUGGCCACACAUUGUCUCUAACCCUGCAAUGCAGCCCUCCUUCUCAUCAUCAUGCUUAAGCUGCUGAGCCUUCUCUUCUGUUAAGCCGCUCACUUAAUUCUGGUUUUCCUUCUACUGUAAGGAGAUGCCCUGAGCCUUGGUUCCUACCUAUGCAGGCAAGUAAAGCUGAUGUGAAGCAGAAAUGAAGUAAAAUAAAAUAGAAUAAACUAAACUAAACUAAAAUAAA
ensembl:lncRNA